CUUCACCGAGCCGAGCCACAGCGGCUGGUCGUCCCGCCGCUGCUGGCCGUACGUGGCCAGGAGGGCCUGGGCCUC
rnacentral:antisense_RNA from 1 species